UUGCUUGGUGGACAGUGGGGAACGGGUGAGUAACACGUGAGCAACCUGCCCUGGACUCUGGGAUAAGCGCUGGAAACGGCGUCUAAUACUGGAUAUGAGCCCCUAUCGCAUGGUGGGGGUUGGAAAGAUUUUUUGGUCUGGGAUGGGCUCGCGGCCUAUCAGCUUGUUGGUGAGGUAAUGGCUCACCAAGGCGUCGACGGGUAGCCGGCCUGAGAGGGUGACCGGCCACACUGGGACUGAGACACGGCCCAGACUCCUACGGGAGGCAGCAGUGGGGAAUAUUGCACAAUGGGCGGAAGCCUGAUGCAGCAACGCCGCGUGAGGGAUGACGGCCUUCGGGUUGUAAACCUCUUUUAGCAAGGAAGAAGCGAAAGUGACGGUACUUGCAGAAAAAGCGCCGGCUAACUACGUGCCAGCAGCCGCGGUAAUACGUAGGGCGCAAGCGUUAUCCGGAAUUAUUGGGCGUAAAGAGCUCGUAGGCGGUUUGUCGCGUCUGCUGUGAAAUCCCGAGGCUCAACCUCGGGCCUGCAGUGGGUACGGGCAGACUAGAGUGCGGUAGGGGAGAUUGGAAUUCCUGGUGUAGCGGUGGAAUGCGCAGAUAUCAGGAGGAACACCGAUGGCGAAGGCAGAUCUCUGGGCCGUAACUGACGCUGAGGAGCGAAAGGGUGGGGAGCAAACAGGCUUAGAUACCCUGGUAGUCCACCCCGUAAACGUUGGGAACUAGUUGUGGGGGUCCUUUCCACGGAUUCCGUGACGCAGCUAACGCAUUAAGUUCCCCGCCUGGGGAGUACGGCCGCAAGGCUAAAACUCAAAGGAAUUGACGGGGACCCGCACAAGCGGCGGAGCAUGCGGAUUAAUUCGAUGCAACGCGAAGAACCUUACCCAAGGGCUUGACAUACACGAGCAACACCCCUAGAAAUAGGGGGACUCUUUGGGACACUCGUGUACAGGUGGUGCAUGGGAUGUCGGUCAGGCUUCGUGUCGUGAGAUGUUGGGCUUAAGUCCGGCAACCGAGCGCUAGCCCUCGUCCUAUG
rnacentral:rRNA from 1 species